CACAGAAAGACACUAUGUAGCCACCAGAAGAGUAAGAGGUCGGGACCCUUUCUCCGGUAAAGUAAACAGCAUUUCACAGUUCCUGCCAAGAUGUACAGAUCUGGGCCUGAUGCCUAAGUGGUGUUGAAUGAAUGAACUAAGUCCCGAGUUAAGUGUAUUCUUGACAUGAACAUAGCCGUGUAAAGGACCCCAGUGCCUUAGACCCAUGGGAAUAACAAGGCCUUCCCCUGGUCGAGCACAGAUGCUGACAGCAUGUGCAGAAAGCAUCAAGCACAGCUUCUUUCUCCAGGAUGACACGGCCUGAUACUGCUCCCCAGCAACUCCUGCGGACAUGAGCUACCCUGCCCACCAUCCCAGGAUCUGCAAUAAGCACAUCAGAUUUCCCGGCCAUUGGUGCAUCUCCAUCAGAGCCCAGCAACCACCCUAUCUCAGGGUGCCUGUCAUUUCUUCAUUCCCCAUGGCCUGGUCAGAUCAGUCCCAAAGCCCUGCAUGUCAUGGCAAUGUUGGACAAGUUCCUCACCUACCCUGCCGUUCUGUACUCACUCCUUGGAGAACUGGAGAUGAUGAUAAUGAUUACAUGAGAAGCACUUCACACACCACCCAGUAUAUUACAAACACUCCUAAGAGCCAAUCACUGCUAUCUGCCUCUCUCUAAAAACGCUCAGAAAAAGGCAGGAUUGCCAGGCAACUCCCAGGGUGCUAACAAUCUGGCCAGCACAUUGGUCACACAGUGGAACUUAGUUUCAAGUAUCAGCCUGGGAGUUGGCCCGUGUUGUGUUUGUUUACAUUCCUCUACCCUCCAGCCCCUGGCAUCUGGGUCCCCGGGUGUUACUAGUAAAUAAAAUGAUUUCCUCAUUCCA